GGGGAGCUUACAAUGCAGUCGAGGGGCAUCGGGAGGGAAGCUCGCUUUCCUUGCCGGCGACCGGCGCACGGGUGAGUAACACGUAUGCAACCUGCCCUCUUCAGGGGGACAACCUUCCGAAAGGGAGGCUAAUCCCGCGUAUAUCGGUUUCGGGCAUCCGAGAUCGAGGAAAGAUUCAUCGGAAGAGGAUGGGCAUGCGGCGCACUAGCUUGACGGCGGGGUAACGGCCCACCGUGGCGACGAUGCGUAGGGGUUCUGAGAGGAAGGUCCCCCACACUGGUACUGAGACACGGACCAGACUCCUACGGGAGGCAGCAGUGAGGAAUAUUGGUCAAUGGGAGAGAUCCUGAACCAGCCAAGCCGCGUGAGGGAAGACGGCCCUAUGGGUUGUAAACCUCUUUUGUCGGAGAACAAAACCCGGGACGUGUCCCGGACUGCGUGUAUCCGAAGAAAAAGCAUCGGCUAACUCCGUGCCAGCAGCCGCGGUAAUACGGAGGAUGCGAGCGUUAUCCGGAUUUAUUGGGUUUAAAGGGUGCGUAGGCGGUCCGUUAAGUCAGCGGUAAAAUUGCGGGGCUCAACCCCGUCGAGCCGUUGAAACUGGCAGACUUGAGUUGGCGAGAAGUACGCGGAAUGCGCGGUGUAGCGGUGAAAUGCAUAGAUAUCGCGCAGAACUCCGAUUGCGAAGGCAGCGUACCGGCGCCAGACUGACGCUGAGGCACGAAAGCGUGGGGAUCGAACAGGAUUAGAUAC
rnacentral:rRNA from 1 species